rnacentral:rRNA from 1 species
UAUUAUUCCAAAAUAAAUUUUCCCCUUAGGUUAGUAAUAGAUAUUUACUUAAAAGCUAAAAAAUUUGGCGGUAAUUUAAUCUCUUCAGAGGAACUUGUUUUUUGAUCGAUAAACCGCGAAGAAUCUUGCUUAUUUUUAUAAUAGUUUGUAUACCAUCAUUAUUAGGUAAUUUUAAAAAAAUGAAUUGCUAAGAAUAAAAAGUUAUUUAAAUUAGAUCAUGGUGCAGCUAAUAGAUAAGUUAAAAUGAGUUACAAUAAGUUGUCUUAUACGGAUAAAUGAGAGAAUUUUUGUUUAGAAGGAGGAUUUGGUUGUAUUCUAAAUUUAAUAUGUUUAGGAGAUGAUAGCUCUAAAUUAUGUACAUAU